GACGAACGCUGGCGGCGUGCUUAACACAUGCAAGUCGAACGAUGAAGCGGGUGCUUGCACUCGUGGAUUAGUGGCGAACGGGCGAGUAACACGUGAGUAACCUGUCCUUUUCUUUGGGAUAACGGCUGGAAACGGCUGCUAAUACUGGAUAUUCAGGCUGCAUCGCAUGGUGUGGUUUGGAAAGGUUUUUUCUGGGAUUGGGUGGGCUCGCGGCCUAUCAGCUUGUUGGUGGGGUGAUGGCUUAUCAAGGCUUUGACGGGUAGCCGGCCUGAGAGGGUGGUCGGUCGCACUGGGACUGAGAUACGGCCCAGACUCCUACGGGAGGCAGCAGUGGGGAAUAUUGCACAAUGGACGAAAGUUUGAUGCAGCGACGCCGCGUGGAGGGUGUAGGCCUUCGGGUUGUGAACUCCUUUUUCUCGCGAAAAAGGCACAGUUUUGGCUGUGUUGAUGGUAGUGGGGGAAGAAGCGCCGGCUAACUACGUG
rnacentral:rRNA from 1 species